GCCACGCCGCGUGCGGGAAGAAGGCCUUCGGGUUGUAAACCGCUUUCAGCAGGAACGAAAAUGACGGUACCUGCAGAAGAAGGAGCGGCCAACUACGUGCCAGCAGCCGCGGUGACACGUAGGCUCCAAGCGUUGUCCGGAUUUAUUGGGCGUAAAGAGCUCGUAGGCGGUUCAGCAAGUCGGGUGUGAAAACUCUGGGCUCAACCCAGAGCCUGCACCCGAAACUGCUGUGACUAGAGUUCGGUAGGGGAGUGGGGAAUUCCUAGUGUAGCGGUGAAAUGCGCAGAUAUUAGGAGGAACACCGAUGGCGAAGGCACCACUCUGGGCCGAAACUGACGCUGAGGAGCGAAAGCGUGGGUAGCAAACAGGAUUAGAUACCCUGGUAGUCCACGCCGUAAACGAUGGGCACUUAGNNUGGGNNUNUUAACCAAAAAGAANNCCGNCCGCGNUUUUAACNCANUAAAAGNNCCCCCUGGGGGAAUACGG
rnacentral:rRNA from 1 species